UAGGUCCCCGAUUGGAGAGCGCUAGUUUAAGCAUUCGCAGUAUCUUCGUCGUGAGGGCAGAAGGGCGGCACGGCGUCCCUGCACCUGUGGCUUGGCACGGCGAAGUGCCGGAGCUUGCCGACCUGCUCCACCAUGUAUGCCUCGCAGAGGAAGGCCCUGGAGAAGCGGUCCUCCACCGGGCGGUCGACGUCGUGCACCAGCACGUCCGUGGUCGCGCCGGGCCGCCGCGCCGCGCCGCCAUCCCGGCGGCGUAGAUGGCGCCCAUCCGCCCGGGAGACCACGGCGCGUACCCCGUGGGCGCGUCGACCAGGAUGACGUCCCACUCGGCCUUGUAGAACGCCGCGGGGAGCCCCGGCGGGGCGAGCCGGCACGGCGCGGCGGCGAGGUCCGGUUGCGCGACGCAGGCCGGGUCUCCGCGGAGCUCCAGGAGCUUGUCAGCGUCGCCGACCUUGGUGUCGUCGUAGGCCAAGCAUUCACCUUCGCCGUGGCCACGAGUAAAAGCUGGUUGGAGACAUGGGGUACGUUCGCCUACCUUACGGUUUGUGCCGUCCUCGUGAUCGUCAUGCUGGGCAAACUAGGUAGCUGCAUCAAGAUUCUUCCCCGGCUGCUUCGUCGUUGACCUGCGACGCGCGGCCGGCAGCGGCCUUGCUGGUCUCAAUGCCAUUCAGCUCAUGUUAGUCCGGGGAAAUUUUACCCCGUGUGUCAUCUCCACCAUCAACCAAAAAAUAAUCUGUCAUCGAGAGUUUGCGGCUUUGUACUGCGUGGUGGC
rnacentral:lncRNA from 1 species